rnacentral:rRNA from 1 species
AACGAACGCUGGCGGCAGGCUUAACACAUGCAAGUCGAACGCCCCGCAAGGGGAGUGGCAGACGGGUGAGUAACGCGUGGGAAUCUACCGUGCCCUACGGAACAACAGUUGGAAACGACUGCUAAUACCGUAUACGCCCUACGGGGGAAAGAUUUAUCGGGGUAUGAUGAGCCCGCGUUGGAUUAGCUAGUUGGUGGGGUAAAGGCCUACCAAGGCGACGAUCCAUAGCUGGUCUGAGAGGAUGAUCAGCCACAUUGGGACUGAGACACGGCCCAAACUCCUACGGGAGGCAGCAGUGGGGAAUCUUGCGCAAUGGGCGAAAGCCUGACGCAGCCAUGCCGCGUGAAUGAUGAAGGUCUUAGGAUUGUAAAAUUCUUUCACCGGGGACGAUAAUGACGGUACCCGGAGAAGAAGCCCCGGCUAACUUCGUGCCAGCCGCCGCUGUAACAC